CUUCAUUUAAGCUCCUUUUAAAACUCCAGUUCUCUUUUGUGGUUGUUGAGAAGAGUAGUUGCUGAACUGGCUUUGCUAUCUUUGAUUAUCCUUUUAAUUUUCACAGGAUCAGUAGUGAUGACUCCUUUUUCAUUUCUGACAUUGCACCGCUUUUCUUGGAUUUCACACAUUUUGGUCUGCUGCUCUCUUGACCCUAAUGAUGAUGGUCACAUUCUUGGGAUGGCAGAGCGAGGAGCUGUCAGUAGCCUGGGUUCCUUCUUGUUAUAGCAGAACCAACAUAGAAGACAUGGUUUGUCUUCCUCUGGACUUUCACCUGACAAGAGCAGACUUUCAUAGCUCUUACAUGGCUGUUUACUUGGGGCCACAGUUAUAGUGAAUAUAGAACUUAGUACCAUACAGGAAGUGCUGCCCAUAACGGAAAUGGAAAUAUGUGGUAUAAUGAAGGUCGUGUCGUAGGUGAGAGGUGGUAAGUGUUCAGAAUCUUCCAGAUUCUGCAGAAAUCUGGGCAUACUUGUUUGGCAGUGGAAACAUUUGGUUCAAAUGGAUCCUACUCUACCUUGGAAAAUGUAUUACCUGCUGAGUAUGACUGUAGCAUGAAGGGAAAAGGUAAGACAAAUUCAGAAUUUUUCUGUGGCUUGGGUGCUCUGCAGCUUUGAGCAGAAACUCACAGAAGGGAGCUCAGUCUGGAAAGCAUAGCAUGCAAGCAGAGGAGGGAGGGAACCCAGCCCUCUCUACCUGCAAGCCAAGUUGACUGAGAGCAUGGCAAUUUGGAGCCUUGGAGGGUUGAAACAGCCAACACCCUCUGUGCCUGAUGGGAGGCCCUCAGAAGUGUAGAUCCCAGACAAUGGCCUUAGGGGAAGAAACAUUGUGGUCCUAAGUUUUUCCCCAGCACCUUCCGUUAAGGGUUGACUGCCAGACCUGGGAUCCAGUCAGCAAUAAACAUCACACCAUGGGUAUGGCCUUUCCCCUAAACCUUUCCCACCACAUCUACCAGAGACAGAGGCAGGCAUGGGCAGAGCACAGGUGCCAGUUACAGAGCAGCUUUCAGUCUUAAAGCUUCGUCCAAGCAAGAUCUGUGGCAGUGGUUUAAACGGCCAAUGAGGAGGAUGAAAUAAAUACACAAGAAGCCAAUUGAGUUAUUGGAGCCAAUUGUAUUGCAAAAGUGAAGACAGCCUUGACACAGGCUAUAAUUCUUCUUCCCUCUAGUUUGAGACUAUACAAUCUGUGUAGCCUUGAGAGAGAAUAUAGUCUGCAAAGCUCACCUCAGCUGCGGGGAAAAUGUUAAACAACAAAGAACCCUCUAGGUUCAUGGAGGACAAUGGACAAGAUGGCAUAUCACAGAGUAGAAGCAAGCAGGGCUGCCUGAGAAAGGAAGCACUUGUGAUUCCUGCCCAGCAAAAUCCCAUCACUGUGGACCAUCACUGUGUUUCUUCUGUCCCCUUCCUGGUUUUGAAUGGAAAGUCUCCUGGCCUCCCCUCAUUCUGCUCCCCUCCCUCUUCCCCUUCUCUUCUCCCCUUCCCUCGAAUCCCCUCCUCUCUUCUCGUCUUUUCCUUCCCCUCCCCUUCUCUUUUCUUUUUUUUACCCCUCUCCUCCCCUUCCUUCCCCUCCCUUUCUUUCUCCUCCUGUCUCCUUUCCUUCUCAUUUCUGACUCUAAUCAUGGCUAUUCUGCUUCUCUGCACCACUGUAUGUAGAGUGAGAUGGGGGUGAAUCACUCACCUUGUCUCUUCUUGGUCAUUCGGCCAUGAAGAGUCAUAUUAGGAUCUGAUGGAGGGUGCUGCCUAGCGCCAUAGGUUCUGGACUUCUAGUGACCUGCAGUGACUGGGCAGAUCUUUACAGUGGAGAGGGUCUGUGCGUUCUGUCUGAUUAGAAGAGAAUACAUAAAUGUAUGGGGAAGACUGUGGCAGAAACUUUUAAGUUAACAUCCAACAUCUGGAUCUUAUCUUUUCCCACAGUAAUAGGAUCCCUGGUGUUUAGGUGGCUCAGGGUGGUGCAAAAUAAAGACCAUAUUUCUCAGCAUCAUUUGAGGGCUGCUUUAGUCAUGUGAUGAAAUCUGACCAAUAGGAUGUGGUGUUUUGGGGUGUGCAAUGCCCACAGAUUGUACUGAAAGAGUGCAGGGGUGCCUUAUGCCCUCUGGGGUCUUGCGGCCUGGAAUGUGAGCAUAAUGGCUGAGGUUUCAGUGGUCACUGUAGAUCACACUUAUCACUGAUGUUCAGGACGUGAGCCUGCAUAGCCGAGCAAAUGCACAGAAGGAGCUUGGGUCCCUGACUCUGUGGAGCACCCUACCAACCCUUAAUGGCUACCCCAAGGCUUUUAAACAUAACGGAGAAACACACUUCUACUUUCUUCAAGCCCUUAUUACACUGGAGUUUUCAGUUACCCCAGCUGAAUGAAAUCCUCGCUGACAGAGCAAGCAAGCCUUGAUGCAGAAAGAGUGGCCAGGAAACUAUUGCCCCGGCAGGGAACUGACAAUGAGAGUCUGAACUAAGGCAAUAGCAGUUGGGAUGGUGAGGACAACAUGCUAAUGAGGUCGAGAGGUAGCACAGACUGGAUUUAAUUACUGAUUGGACAAGGAGAUGACAGAUAAAGUAAAAGUAGAGCAUUAUACCUGGGUUUCUAGCUUGGAUGGUGUGGAGGAGCAAUGGGCAUGGUUAAGAGUCCUCAGAAGGAAUCUACAAAGUCAAAGAAAUCCAAAGAUAGAAACUUGAAGAACACAAACAAUUUAAGGAGUGAACAGCAGAAGAGACCAGUAGGUAGAAGUGUCACCAGGACCACCUGCUUGAGAGAUUAAUAAUGUCAGUCAUGAGAAAUAAAAUCUCAUGAGGAAUGAAAUCCCUGGGGAUCUUUCCAUAAAAAUCACCAUGACAUGGUAGACAUGAAAGCUGGGGGGCUUAGAAGCCAAUGUGAAUCAAAGAGAUGGACAAAUUACCUGAGGCUGCAUUUUACUUAUUUUUUAUUUAAUAUUUUAGAGACAAAGUCUCACUCUGUCACCCAGGUUGGGGUACAGUGGUGUGAUCAUAGCUCACUGCUGCCUUGAACUCCUGGGCUCCAGCAAUCCUCCUACCUUAGCCUCCUGAGUAGCUGGGACUACAAGUGUGCACCACCACAUCGGGCUAAUAUUUAAAUUUUUUGUAGAAACAGGGUCUUGCUGUGUUGCCCAGGCUGGUCUUGAAUUCCUGGCCUCAAGCUAUCCUCCUGCCUUGGCCUCCCAAAGAGCUGGAAUUACAUAUGUGAGCCCUGCUCCCGGUCCAACAUGGUUCAUGAGCCUGGAAUGUUGAGGGUGCCUAGCACCAGACAUGUUCGUCCCAGAGCUGCUCUGCAUGGGACGUCUGGCUUCACAACAGUUUUUGUCUGGUGGCCCAGAUUUUCAGUCAUAUUUUUCUCAAGUGCUGACUCUGGCAGGUUGGAAUUAAUUUCUUUCAGGCAUUCUCAAUUCACUCUGCCUCCAAGAUUCAGAAUUAUUUCAUCUGAUGAACUGUGACCAUCUCAGCAUGAGGACUCUAAGGAGUGUAAAUGUCAUUUGUGGUCUGGUUUUUUUCUAUCUUGGCAUCUGUUAUGGACUGCAUGUCUGUGUUACCCCAAAAUUCAUAUGGGAUGAUGUGGGACUUUGGGAGGUAAUUAGGGUUAGAUGAGGUCAAGAAAGUAGAGCCCUUAUGAUGGAACUGGUGUCCUUAGAAGAAGAAAUAUGUCUUUCUCUCUCUCUCUCCACACACACACACCAAGGAAAGACUCUGUGAAGACACAGCAAGAAGUUCUCCACAAGCCAGCAAGAGAGCCCUCACCAGAAAAUGAACCAGCUGGCACCUUGAUCUUGAACUCCUAGCUUCCAGAAUUCUGAGA
rnacentral:lncRNA from 10 species